rnacentral:rRNA from 1 species
UACGAAGGGGGCUAGCGUUGCUCGGAAUUCCUGGGCGUAAAGCGCACGUAGGCGGCUUGUUAAGUCAGGGGUGAAAUCCUGGAGCUCAACUCCAGAACUGCCUUUGAUACUGGCGAGCUUGAGUUCGGGAGAGGUGAGUGGAACUGCGAGUGUAGAGGUGAAAUUCGUAGAUAUUCGCAAGAACACCAGUGGCGAAGGCGGCUCACUGGCCCGAUACUGACGCUGAGGUGCGAAAGCCAGGGGAGCGAACGGG